AAAUAUCUCAUUGGACAUGUUCUAAAAGGAAAUGAUCUUAAUCUAGUCCAUGGAGAUCAGAGAAGAAGUCUAAAGUUUUCUGUUUGAAAGACUUGAGUCAACUUCUAAGCAAAAAGGACAAGUUUAAGUUGAUUCUGAUAAGUUUUAUUCAAGGAACACAGUCAAAGAGUCGACCCCCGCAAAACAUGAGUCGACCCUUGUGUAGUUUAAAGCAAACAGAAAGUUUUUACCGCCU
rnacentral:lncRNA from 1 species